CAUUAAUGAAAUGUUGAAAGGAGUCUGAUGCUGGGGCUUCGGCUCAUUGUGCUCGGCUCUGAUCCAUUCACAUACACUGUGCACAACACUUCUUUAUCAUUAACGCAUGAACUGUCAUACCAUUCUAUGAAUGUAAAUACAACUUUCAACAACGGAUCUCUUGGCUCUCGCAUCGAUGAAGAACGCAGCGAAAUGCGAUAAGUAAUGUGAAUUGCAGAAUUCAGUGAAUCAUCGAAUCUUUGAACGCACCUUGCGCUCCUUGGUAUUCCGAGGAGCAUGCCUGUUUGAGUGUCGUGAAAUCAUCAACUCAACCGAGUUGGAAUUGAGGGUUCUGCUGGCACCAGUGGUCGGCUCCCUUUGAAUGCAUUUCAAAAGAUUGAAGCUCUUUCAAUUGGCGUGAUAAGUGUCUCGUCUUGAGAUAGAGUCUUUUCAUUCUCUAAUUCACUCUUUGACCUCAAAUCAGGUAGGACUACCCGCUGAACUUAAGCAUAUCAAUAAGCGGAGGAAAAGAAACUAACAAGGAUUCCCCUAGUAACUGCGAGUGAAGCGGGAAAAGCUCAAAUUUAAAAUCUGGUGGCUUCGUCACCCGAGUUGUAAUCUGGAGAAGCGUUUUCUGUGUUGGACCGUGUACAAGUC
rnacentral:rRNA from 1 species